UUAGGCUCAUUCUAGAAAGGUACUCUUGUGUCAUGUUUGUCAUGUGUUUCCUUUAUCUUGAACAGUGGGGUGGCCUCUGAAAUUAAACCAAAGUCUCAGCGUGUUCUCUUCAAAUAUAAGCCAGAGAACUCAGCCAAAAAUGCACUUGGUGUUCCAACUGAUGCUGAGCUGGUUGGUCCAAAUGGCGAAGAUGUGGCCGGCAACACGGUGGGUUCGAUUAGCGAAGACAUCACUCAGAAGGACAAAUUGGACCAGGCUGGCAUCCUUGUUGAGAAAGAUGAGCUAACACUGUCUGAUGAAAGAAACAAUGCAAAGAGUGUAUGUUGUUUUCAUAUCUGAACCAUCUGUGCCUGUUAUUGCCCCAGCAAGUGCGGGCAAGAAAGGCAGGAAGAAGCAAUCCCUUCUACUAGAACGAACAUCGUAUUUUGGUGAUGCGAACCUUUUGGAAAUAACUGCCGUGGUUGAAGGGUCUUUUUUCAGUACAAGUGUACUAGCGAUUCCCCUGCUUGUGCUCCGGCUCGCAGGCACUUACUGCCAAAUCACUUGGUUGCUUCUGGCCGACGAUGGCUGCUAUUAAGGCCAUCUCGCUGUCUAUCCGGACUGUCAGGCUAUGUGGACACAGACUGUCUUUUGAUCAGGUAGAAUUAUACUUGGGUUUCCUUUCCAUUGUUCCAUUUUUCUUGACGGGAAACUACGGCGGGCUUACGCCAGCCUGAACUUAUAUUAGCCAGGGAGAGAUGACAACAUUCAGGGAGUUACAUAGGCUGAAGAAAAUGAAAGAUUACAAGGGGGCAGCCCCCCAACAAAUAGCAAAUGAUAGCUUAAGUUCUCUCAGAUAAAUGAUACAACAUGGUGCCCCAAUCCUCUCCAGAUCGUAGUAGAGUGGGGUACAGAUCCUCAUCGUGAGCACGGAAGACCAUAGAAUUUCUCCCUUCCAAAUAGACCAAAGAAUGGCAAUGAUGGCUGUAGAGCGAACUUUGUGCAUCGAAGAGUUAGACCCAAUUUUCUUGAAUGCGUUCGACUUCGGGAGGACGAAGGAGUGGAUUGUCCCAAAUCAAUUGGAUGGAUUGGCAGUUCAGCAGUAAGUGACUUGAGGUUUGAGGCUCAUCGCAAAAUGGGCAAGUAUCGGAGCUCGACAUCCCAUGCCGGAAACGCCGGUCAUUUGUAAAUAGUCUGUCCUGAAAGGCGAGCCAAGUGAACAACCGACACCUGUUUGGCGCAUAGUUCUUCCAAGUAGCUGUGGCAUACCUGUCCUCAGACCUAGCUGCAAACACAGAAGCAUAUUAAUGCUGAUCUUGCCGAGAUGGGCUUGUUGUUGAUACGUCCAACACGGCGGUCGCUAGAGGGUUCAGAGUUACGGUGCCAAUCAUAACGCGCAGCGCAGCAAGUUGAUGUUCCGCAGUGGUGGAAAUCCUAGGGGCGAAGGUCCAAACACAAAACUGGGUCACCGAGAACCCUAGCCACGGAAGCAUUCGGCCUAGUAGAGUGAGAGAAAAUAGCAGGAAAUCCCUUGUUCCAUUUCUUUAUUCCAGUCCCCGUAUUUAUGUGCAUUGCCUUCUUCUUCUUCUUCUUCUUCUGAUUUAUUAUAUGUUUUGUGCUUUUUUUCUGUCAUAAUACUGGAAUAACCAGCUUUUGCUUUGGUGGGCUGAAGUUGUGAUUUUUACCCAGUUCCAUCUGGUCUGUUAUAUUUUCUAAAUAGAAGAUUGUUACAUGUCUUUACAGGAUGUGUCGGCCCAGGCCCAGCAUCCGACAUGGACAUGGGUAGCUAUCAAGGCAUAUUCCGUCUGCAAUUCUUGAGUGUGCAUGGGAGCUCAAUCCUUGAGCUAGGGCUGUGCAGGGAUGACUGAUGUGUCGCUCUUGUUGCAUUGCAUCGAACACCCUCCUUGCUCCACUUGCUGUCCGCAUGGGAACUGGAACACUGCAUUUUGUGUCUAAUUCCACAAGAUUGUUUUGUUUCUCAGUCGAUCUAUAUCCAGACACACGCAUACUGUGCGUGCAGUCAACAACCGUCAGGCCCAAGUCCAUUUGGCAUGACACCCUGCAACAACUUUUGAAAUGAAUGAUUUUGAUUGAUUUUGUAGAGUGCUUCCUCGGCUUCCACCACCGUCCCGGCCGGCUCCCGCUCCCCUAGGACGACCUACCUGGCCUGGCCAUAUGUAGUCGGAUGCGCGAAAGCACCACCGCAGAUCAGGGAAGACGGGAUUUGGCGCGCGUCGUGGUGCCCGUGUGGCGGAGCCCGACGCGGCAUGCCCAUGCGAGCAGCAGCAGCAGCAACAAAGGCGACAGACACCAACGUUAACGGUUGGUGGAGACACUGCUCCUUUGCCCAUACGCUGCAUCUUGAUCCGUAUAAAUACUUCGUCCCCCAUUAUGUGCAGCUAGAAACAUCUCAAAAAGUCAUGUAAACGAGUCACAUGUUUCAUCAAACUAGUAAG